UAAAGUGGCGAACGGCUGAGUAACACGUGGGCAACCUGCCCUUUGCACUGGGAUAGCCUCGGGAAACCGAGGUUAAUACCGGAUACUCCAUAUUUGUCGCAUGGCGAAUAUGGGAAAGCUCCGGCGGCAAAGGAUGGGCCCGCGGCCUGUUAGCUAGUUGGUGGGGUAGUGGCCUACCAAGGCAAUGAUGGGUAGCCGGGUUGAGAGGGCGGACGGCCACAUUGGGACUGAGAUACGGCCCAGACUCCUACGGGAGGCAGCAGCA
rnacentral:rRNA from 1 species